rnacentral:lncRNA from 1 species
CCAGGGUAAGGGGUUAGCAGGCCUUGCAGGCCCAAGAAGAGCAGUCUGCCAUCUUCCCUGAGGGCUGAAAGGACAGGACCACCAGAUGGCUAACGGAGAGACCCCCACAAGCAUGCACAACCAGAGCCCGCCACCUCCUCCUCCCUCGGCAGCUGAGCCCUGAGCUGGCCUAAAGGGGAGGGGCAGCUGGUGGCUCCCGGGGCACUGAGGAAGGAGAGGAUGCCACCUCUCCUUCAGGGUCAAAUCCUAAGCCAAGUUUUUAAAACCCCCAAAGCCCGCUGGUUUUUGAAUAUACCCUCCAAAACCUCUAACCCCCUGAAAUUUCUAUACCAGAGGGCUAGGCCCUGGAGCUGGAGGGAGAAGGUACCCCGCAGCCCUAGGAGAGGAAGGAGGGAGCACUGCACAAGUUCGACCGGCCACAACAAGGUAAGGGCCCUGUAAGUAGGUUUUUCUAGGCAAGGAAAGGGUGGAGACACCCCUCUGUGGGGUAUUCUCCGCUCUGUUUCAUUGAUGAAACAGAGGGGAGGAGACCGGCACAGAGGGAAGAGGAAACCGGCACGGGAGAGACAGGAGGAGGGCCACUGCGGCCGGACCCAUGGGCUGCGGGCCGGACCCACAGGCCGCGGGCCGGCCUGAGAACGGCCCAAGCCGAGCCCAACGCCACUCGGGCCGAGCCCAGCCGGACUCGGCCUGCGGGUGACAGGCCCCGGCCGUGGCUGCCCUAGGGCUGAGGGGCAGCCAAGGGCCGCCGGGUCUGCCGUGCCGACGACCGACGCGGCCUCAAGGCUGCCAGCCUCAGCCAAGCCCCACCUCUCCGCCGGCCGAGAGGUGGUGGCACGGUAUCCACAAAGAAAAAGGGGGAAAAAGGGAGAGGAAGAAAUCGGAAGAGGAAGAAGAACAAAAAAAGGAAAAAAAAGAAAAGGGGGAGAACAAGUACUUACCUCGGACCACGGCCUUACCUCGCCAUGGUCGGAGCCGGUGAGGUCCUCCCGGAGCAGAUCGGCCUCGAUCCCACCUCCCGGCUCUUCUCCUCUCCUCCGGCAUCACUUCGGAGAAGGGGGAAAGAGCCGGCCUCCCACCGCCGCCGCCCCGAAAGGGGAGCACCACUCCGGCCGGUGGAUAGGGAGCUUCGUCUCCCCGGUCGCCUGCGAGAGGAGGGGGAGAACCGGAAGGCGGCGAGGGAAGAAGAAGGGCACCAGAAGAGGAGGAGGCCGGGGAGGGUUUCGGCUGGAGCAGGUGGGUUUCGGUGGAGACGAAGGGAGAACGAGGAAGACGAGGGAAACCGAAGGAGAGAGAAAGCCACGGGUGGAAAGGGGCCGAAGCCUCUGGAAGCUCCCGGUAGAAGAAAAAAGAAAGAAAAAGAGAGAGAGAGAGAGAGAGGCUUUAACGGGCUGCCUAGCGGAUCGGAUCCGAGUCCGGAUCCGAAACCCGUUAGGCCCAAAUGAUUCAAAUCGAUUUGGGUGAGCCCAAUGUAGGGUUGAUCCAAGCCCAAUCAAAUUAAACGGGUCAAUUAUGCCUAAUUGAUGUUGGGUCUGAACCCGACCAAGCCUGAAUGAACCCAAGUUAGGCAAAUUGAGCUAGACUUGAAUCCAAUUAAACUCAAUUCAGCUGGGUCCGAACCAUGUUCAUAACAGGUUGACCUCAGCAGGCCCAAUUAGCCCUAAAUCAGGCCCAAUUAAAUUAGCAGAAGGCCAAAUUGGCUAGGAAAAGAGGACUUAACCACAAAUCAGGCCCAACCUUUCCCUUAGAGGCCCAACUAGGCCUGAAGACUCAAAUUUACUUCAAUUGGGCUAAAAUUUAUGAUGAAUAGAGGAUAAUGUGAGUCUUAUAAUAUGAUUCUAGGAAUUAAAGACUCGUCGACCGGACUCAAAGAAUUAAUAACAACUUAUAGUAAGUAACCUGUUCUUAUCCUACUUUGGAUCAUGUCAUGUCAUUAAUAUUUUUCUAAGUGUUAUUCAAGUACAUACUUCAUGAAUAUUAUGUUUUGAUUAGUAAGUAACUUGCCUAAUUUAUAAUUUAUGGCCACAUAUGCAUUACGAUUAUGUUGAUAUUUUAAAUCAUGCAUGCAAGUUAGUACAGUAAAAUUUCUAUUUAGCCGAAGGGCACUAUAGAUGAACUCAAAGAUGCUACCGAUCGAAUGCAACUGAGCUGGCCUUGCUUGUGGCCGAGAAUGACUGAGCCUGCCCCGCCAGUGGCUGAAUAAUAACUGAGCUGGCCCCGCCAGUGGCCGAGACCGACUUCGCAGUAGCAUCCGAGAGAAUGGACCACGGCAUGCCGGGGGCACGGUUUCAUAUGCAUACUUUAUGAAAAUAUUUGUCUGAUUCAAAAUACUAUUUUGUUUACCCAGCAUACAUAUUUUGCCAUGAUAAAUUGUUAGAUAAUAUGCAUGUCAGCUUCUCAAACCCUGAUAAACAUGUUUAGUUUUUUUAGUUGAUCCGAUAAGAUUAUGCAGGAAUACUUACUGAGCCGUGUAGCUCAUGUCUGUUUAUUUCUCAUUUUCUUUCAGAUCCUCACCCGUGAUCGCCAUUAGAUAUAUUUUUAUUUUGUUACAGAGCUUCGUUAUUUUUGGAGAAGCUUAUAUACUUUUGUAUAUUUGAACAGCAUAGAAGUUCUGUAUUUUUGGUAUCAAUCUUCAAGGUUGUAAUGCAAAUAUUUUAAUAUAUGAAAGUUUAAAAUCUAUUGGCUACCUGUUACCCCUGUACGAGACUGCGUGCUAUUGUGGGCGGUAGUCGGCAAUAGUACGGCCGUGUCACGGAUCCGGAUCCGGGGCGUGACAUAUUGUGGUAUCAGAGCCUUAGGUUAAACAAUAGAAUAACCAUAGAAUGCCUGAGGAAAGGGUAGUUAAGAAUGUCAUCGUCAUAGAAAAUAUUAUAGUAUGCUAGUGUAUCAUAAUCUCACUUUAAAAAUUUUGACUGCUAGGCGAUCAUUUGAAAGACAUGGACGACGGCAGGAGACCACCCUCCCCGGAGCCCAGCGAGCAGUCAGUUCCCCCGGAUACUCCACGGUCUGCAACAGGUCAGGCAGGCCUAGCCGGAGUAUAUCAGCUCAUGGCACAAGUGCUGCAACAGCAACAGAUGAUGCAGCUGGCCGCUAUGCCAUCGGCAGACUCCUGCUACGAGAGGUUCCACCGACUGAACCCCCCAACCUUUGAGGGUGGGCCUGACCCCAUGGAGGCAGAAACAUGGAUCCGGGAGAUGGAGAAGAUGUUCCGAGCCCUCCACUUUCCCAAUGAGGUGACAGUCCGACUGGCGAUCUCUAUGCUGACAGGGAACGCCGAGUACUAGUAGACGGCCAUGGAGACGGCUUAUGCCGUUGACGGACUCACCUGGAGGGACUUCAAGAGGCUGUUUUACAACCAAUAUUUUCCGGACUCAGUCCACCAGGCAAAGCAGAAUGAAUUCUUGACGCUGACCCAGACCGACCAGAUGUCCGUUCUGGAGUACGCCAAUAAAUUCAAUGAGCUGGGACGAUUUUGCCCCUAGUUCAUGGAGGAGGAGAGAAGUAAGGUAAACAGGUUCGAGCAGGGAUUGAGGUACGGAAUUCGGUCCCGAAUAUCCUCCCAUCUGUUCUCGAGCUACCGGGAUGUACUGGAUCGAGCCUUGAAGGUUGAGGCUGAUUUGAUGCAGUCCGGGAGAGAGAGGGAGGACUUGAAGAGGACCCGAUCGUCGGGAGCACAGAGUAGCGGGUCUGGUGGCAGCAAGAGGUCUGUGCCCAGGAAGAAACAGGGCAGAAGCUGCCCCACCUGUGGCGGAAACCACAAUGGUACCUGCUUGAAGAAGACCGGGGGUUGUUUUUCUUGUGGGCAGACAGGACACAUCGCCCGCGACUGCCCGAGUCGGAAGAAGGACGAGCCCAGACAUACUGCAUCGGAGGACCAGGGAUCGAGGGGUAACCCUCGGAUUUUCGCACUAACUCGACAGGAUGCCAGUGCUAGCGAUCAGGUGGUGACAGGUACACUUCUGGUCAACUCAGCCCCUGCCCUCACUCUAUUUGAUUCUGGUUCUACGCAUUCUUUCGUGUCAGUUAGCUUUUCCAGACAAUUACAUAGUAUACCUGAGAAAUUAGUGGAACCAUGGCAUGUUGCUACACCCCUUCAGAAAACUAUAAUUGUUGACACGAAAUAUAGAGACUGCAUAACUCAGAUAGGGGAAAGAGAGUUAGAGACAAACCUUCUGUAGCUUGACAUGCAAGAUUUCGAUAUUAUUUUGGGCAUGGAUUGGAUAUCUUAGUACCACACUCAUAUUGACUGUUAUCAUAAAAGGGUGGUAUUUCGGAUGCCUGGGGAGCAAGAAUUUUUCUUUCAGGGCGACAUACCCCUUCAGGGUGCUCCCACACUGCACUUCAUUUCCGCUUUGAAAGCUGGAAAGGCUCUGAAAAAGGGGUGUAUGGCCUAUCUGGCCUGUGUAACGGAUACUCAGAAAGAGAUCAAACUGGAAGACAUUCCAGUAGUCAGAGAAUAUCCGGAUGUCUUUCCGGAGGAAUUACCGAGGUUACCCCCCAGACCGAGAGAUCGAAUUUGCUAUCGACCUCGCACCAGGAGAGGGGCCAGUCUCUAAGGCUCCUUAUCGGAUGGCCCCUGCUGAGUUAAGGGAAUUGAAGAUACAACUACAAGAACUCCUGGACAAAAAGUUCAUCCAGCCCAGUGCAUCGCCAUGGGGAGCUCCUGUCCUGUUUGUGAAAAAGAAAGAUGGGAGUAUGCGGCUAUGCAUCGAUUACCGGGAAUUGAACAAGAUAACCAUAAAGAACAAAUAUCCCCUACCCCGGAUCGAUGACCUGUUUGAUCAGCUGCAGGGCGCCCAGGUCUUCUCCAAGAUAGAUUUGCGGUCAGGUUACCAUCAGUUGAAGAUUAAAGCUGAUGAUGUGCCAAAAACGGCAUUUCGAACCAGGUAUGGGCACUAUGAAUUUCUGGUUAUGCCUUUUGGACUGACCAAUGCUCCGGCUGCAUUUAUGGACUUGAUGAAUAGAGUCUUUAGGCAAUAUUUGGAUCAGUUUGUGAUAGUUUUUAUCGACGACAUUCUAAUCUACUCAAAGAGCAAAAAGGAGCACGAAGACCAUUUGAGGAUGGUGCUACAAACCCUUCGAGAGAAAAGGCUGUACGCCAAGCUGAACAAAUGUGAGUUCUGGCUGGAUAGUGUGGCGUUUCUCGGCCAUGUGGUCUCCAAGGAAGGAGUGUCAGUGGACCCCAAGAAGAUAGAAGCGGUGGUAGAUUGGCCUCGUCCUACCAACGCCAAAGAAAUUAGAAGCUUCUUGGGAUUAGCUGGGUAUUACCGGCGAUUUGUAGAAGGAUUCUCCAAAAUAGCCACUCCCUUGACCCAUUUGACUAAGAAACGGGCCAAGUUUAUCUAGGACGACAAGUAUGAGAGAAGCUUUCAGGAGCUUAAACAAAGGUUAGUUUCUGCCCCAAUUUUAACAUUGCCGUCCUUAACUGAAGAAUUUACCAUCUACAGUGAUGCUUCCAAGAACGGGCUAGGCUGUGUGCUGAUGCAAGAUGGCAAGGUGGUAGCCUAUGCCUCGAGACAGCUGAAACCCUAGGAACAGAAUUACCCGACACAUGACCUGGAGUUGGCCGCAGUGGUGUUCGCCUUGAAACUUUGGAGACAUUAUUUGUAUGGCGAACACUGUGAGGUGUACACCGACCACAAGAGCCUAAAGUAUAUAUUCACCCAGAAGAAAUUGAAUAUGAGGCAAAGAAGGUGGUUGGAACUCCUGAAGGAUUAUGACCUGAGUAUUAAGUACCACCCAGGAAAGGCCAACGUGGUGGCUGAUGCCCUAAGCAGAAAGUCAGUAGUGGGUUCCGCCGCAUUACUCACCACUCAACCACAGAUUCAGAAGGAUCUCGAUAAACUGCAGGUUGAGGUGGUUACCCGAACUACAAGAAGUCUGCUGGCCACUUUGAAUAUACAACCAACAUUGAUCGACAGAAUAAAAGUUGCCCAGCAGUCUGAUCAGCAUACCUGUCAGCUCAAGAAUGAAGUGGAGAAGGGGUUACGACCCGAACUCCAAACCCACCCAGAUGGCACCCUGAGGUUUGGCCACCGAUUGUGUGUUCCGACAGAUGUUGACCUAAAGAGGAAAAUCAUGGAAGAGGCCCACCAAUCCCGUUUCUCUAUUCACCCGGGCAGCACUAAAAUGUACCGGGACCUUCGGGAACAUUACUGGUGGAAGGGAAUGAAGAGAGAAAUAGCUGAGUUUGUGGCCCGAUGUUUGACCUGCCAGCUAGUAAAAGCAGAGCACCAGAGGCUAGCAGGGUUACUAGAACCAAUAGAAAUCCCAGAAUGGAAAUGGGAGCACAUCACGAUGGAUUUUGUUACAGGACUCCCCAAAACGGUGAGAAAGAAUGAUGCAGUGUGGGUGAUUGUUGACCGCCUCACAAAAUCGGCUCAUUUCCUACCUUUCAGAAUUGGAACCCCUUUGGACAAGCUGGCCCAAUUAUACAUCGACGAGAUUGUACGCCUGCACGGAGUACCAGUGAGCAUCAUUUCUGAUCGCGACCCCCGAUUCGUAUCCAGAUUCUGGAAAAGCUUUCAGAAGGCUAUGGGUACCGGAUUGAGGCUCAGUACAGCAUACCACCCCCAGACUGACAGCCAGUCAGAGCGGACAAUCCAAACUCUGGAAGACAUGUUGAGGGCAUGCACGGUGGACCUAGGUGGAAAUUGGGAUAGUCAUAUACCACUGGUGGAAUUUGCUUAUAACAAUAGUUACCAUUCCAGCAUCCAGAUGGCCCCAUACGAAGCCCUCUAUGGGAGAAAAUGCCGAUCCCCCUUACAUUGGGAUGAUGUCGGGGAGCGGAAAAUGUUGGGCCCCGAACUGGUCCAGCACACUAGAGAUAAAGUACUCUUAAUUAAGCAAAGGCUUCAGGCUGCCCAAGACAGACAGAAAAGAUGGGCUGACAAAGGAAGAAGGGCCUUGGAAUUUUUGGAGGGAAACUUUGUCUUCCUAAAAAUUUCUCCAUCGAAGGGUAUUACCCGAUUCGGGAGACACGGCAAGUUAAGUCCUCGCUACAUCGGCCCAUUCGAGAUUCUCGCCAGAAUAGGCAAGGUUGCCUACAAGUUGGCCCUACCCCCAGAGCUAUCAGGUGUGCACGACGUCUUCCAUGUCUCUCUGCUACGGAGAUAUGUCCCGGAUCCCAGCCAUGUGGUGCCACAUGAGCCUCUGCAAAUAAAUAAAGAUUUAACCUAUGAGGAGGCUCCCCUGCGCAUCAUAGACAGGAAAGAGCAAAUCCUCCAAAGGCGCACCAUCCCCUACGUUAAAGUCCAGUGGACCAACCACGCUGAAAGGGAAGCUACCUGGGAAUUGGAGGAAGAGAUGCGACAAUGCCACCCUCAGCUCUUCGAGAACCGAGGUAUGUUUAAUUUCGAGGACGAAAUUUAUUUAAGGAGGGAAGGAUGUAAUGUCCGGGCCCAAUACAGACCGGGCCCAAUACUGUAGGGCCCCGUUGAAGGGUAUUGGGCCAGGGUAAGGGGUUAGCAGGCCUUGCAGGCCCAAGGAGAGCAGUCUGCCAUCUUCCCUGAGGGCUGAAAGGACAGGACCACCAGAUGGCUAAUGGAGAGACCCCCACAGGCAUGCACAACCAGAGCCCGCCACCUCCUCCUCCCUCGGCAGCUGAGCCCUGAGCUGGCCUAAAGGGGAGGGGCAGCUGGUGGCUCCCGGGGCACUGAGGAAGGAGAGGAUGCCACCUCUCCUUCAGGGUCAAAUCCUAAGCCAAGUUUUUAAACCCCCAAAGCCCGCUGGUUUUUGAAUAUACCCUCCUAAACCUCUAACCCCCUGAAAUUUCUAUACCAGAGGGCUAGG